AUGAAUAUUAAUAAGAUCCUGCAAACGAACUUUUGCUGGUGAAUCAUCAACCUAAUGCUUGAACAUAUCCAGGUGUUAAGGCGCCACGUUCCCAUCUUUUCAGAUUCUUCAGAAGUACGGAUUCCUGAACUUUUCUAGACGUUUCUCUGACUUGCAUUGGAAUCGCAAAAGGCAUUGAAAUUUUCUUACUUUUACUCCAAAGGCUCAAAGCUUCAACACAAGUUCGACACACUUUAUGUGGAUCCCUGGCUUGUCUUGAUCGCCUAAUUUAAUUCCAAAAUACGCAAAUUUUUCAAGUAAAAUAUCAGUAAAGAUGCUUUUAUUACUGCUGAAGUCUUGACUAAGCUAUCAUUUGCAGUUCUUGAAAACAUAACUCUACGUUGCAUUCAGGAUGCUUGCUUGCUGGAAGAUUCUGCUAUAUUCUGUGAAUUGGUAUUAAUUAAAUAAAAUCUAUUUUUUACAGAUUUUCAUGUAACAAAAAUUAAUAACUAUUUCAUAAUAUCUUUAAAAAAUUCAAUUAAGAUAUCAUUUAAAACUAUGAAAACUUAAUGUGUGCUCAUGAUUAAAAGUUGUUCUUUGUUUGUAAGAGCUAUGAUUCUCUGAGCUUUCGUAUGUAUUAAAUGAAGUGCUGCCUGUAACAAAUUUCAGCAUAAUAUAAAUUAAUAAAGAGUUUUUAAUAC